CUGGGCAACAAGAGCAAAACUCCGUCUCAAAAAAAAAAAAAAAAAAAAAAAAAAUUCCCUCUUAAAGUAAGAAAAUGGAGGCCCAAACUUCGUGGCUGUCCAAAGGCUGUGUGACCCGUUGGGCAUUGGAACCAGUCCAGCCAUCUUUGUCAGUCCGUUGCUUUUACCCCUGUGGUUUAGGGCAGUCAGUUUUCUUGCCCUUAAAUUAUCAAAAGCCCUUUGAUUUUAUUAGUAGUAGAAGUUCUAGCUUGUUCCCGCUGCCAAAGUGUCCUUGUACUGACAAAUGUAGACCAGCAGUGUUCGAUGCAAUUUUCUUCAAGGAAGAAAAUGUGUCUGCUGGCCAGUAUGGUAGUCAGCAGUCACAUUUGGCAGCCAAGCACUUAGAAUAUAUGGUUGAUGGUCCUAAGGAAAUAUCUCCGUUUUACUUUAAAUGUAAGUAACCACAUAUGGGUAGUGGCUAACGAGUGGGACGGCACAGAUCUGGGUGUUCUCAUUUGUUCUCCACGCCCCAGGCAUCAGGUAAGGUCAGGUUAUGAGUUUAAACUGUCUGUUAUAUUUGUAAACUCUAAGCCCCAGCUUGGACUGGAUGUACUUAUAAUUAUCCAUUUGGUCUAACAGUAAGAACCUGACCUGUCAUUGUAAAUGGCUACAGGGAUGAAGGUGGCUGGAGAAGAGGACCAGCUGAGGAAUCUUCAAGCUGGAGAGACUCAAGUCGCCGGGACGAUAGGGAUAGGGAUGACCGUCGCCGUGAGAGGGAUGACCGGCGUGAUCUAAGAGAAAGACGAGAUCUAAGAGACGACAGGGACCGAAGAGGACCUCCACUCAGAUCAGAACGUGAAGAAGUAAGUUCUUGGAGACGUGCUGAUGACAGGAAAGAUGACCGGGUGGAAGAGCGGGACCCUCCUCGUCGAGUUCCUCCCCCAGCUCUUUCAAGAGACCGAGAAAGAGACCGAGACCGAGAAAGAGAAGGUGAAAAAGAGAAGGCCUCAUGGAGAGCUGAGAAAGAUAGGGAAUCUCUCCGUCGUACUAAAAAUGAGACUGAUGAAGAUGGAUGGACCACAGUACGACGUUAAGUCUCAAGAUAAUGGAUUUAAACUGGUGUCUUAAAUAGGUUUGAUCACAUUCAAGGAUUAUUAUACUUGUGCUUCAACCAAUCUAAAUUGGAUUCUUUAAUGUUGUUUCACCAUAACACAAAAAGCAUGAACUUGUAUUAAUCCUAUAUAAUAGAUUGAUCAUGCACCAUAUCCACAGGAGGUUGGAAAAACCAUGCCAUUUUCUGGAAUUUAAGGGUGUUGCAUUAUUUCAUCAAUCAUUU
rnacentral:lncRNA from 1 species